GAAUGGGAAAUUUGAUUUUCUAUGCUUAGAAAAUCAAAAAAUUUGAUUUUUAAACCAAUAAUUAAAACCCUAAAAAAACUAUACCUUUUUUUUCAAAACCCCAAAAAUACCCCCAAACUAAAACUAUCUCUCUUUCUCUCUCUAUCUAGCCGGUCCCAAUAAUCCCACACCCCAGGUCCGAUGGUCGGACCAUGGGGUCCGACCAUCGGACCUCUCUCUUCCCCUCUCUCUCAAAUCGCAGGAAAAAAAAAAAAAUUAAAA